rnacentral:rRNA from 1 species
GACGAACGCUGGCGGCGUGCUUAACACAUGCAAGUCGAACGAAGAGGCGGACGGUUGAGUAAUACGUGGGUAACCUGCCCUCCUUUUUGGGAUAAGCAUUGGAAACGGGGUCUAAUACCGACUAAAGGGGGCUGGGCUCGCGGCCUAUCAGCUUGGUGGUGGGGUGCUGGCCUACCAAGGCGGUGACGGGGCGCCGGCCGGGGAGGGGAACCGGCCCAAUGGGAACUGGGAAACGGCCCAGACGCCGCCGGGAGGCAGCAGUGGGGGAUAUUGCACAAUGGGCGAAGGCCUGAUGCGGCGACGCCGCGUGGGGGAUGAAGGCUUUGGGGUUUUAAACUUCUUUAGCUAUCGAAAGGGUAGGUGGAGAAGAAGCGCCGGCUAACUACGUGCCAGCAGCCGCGGUAAUUC